rnacentral:antisense_RNA from 1 species
CGUGCCCGUCGCUCUGCGCGCCCGCCCGCCGGAGCGCAGCAUCGCCUCCGGCCAGGAGUGUGCAUGCGUGGGGCUCCAGACAAGGAAGAGGAUGUUUGGACGGGGCAGCUUGGACCUACCUGCCCUGCAAGCUGGCUGGAAUUCGAGUGAAACCGUCCUGGGGUGAAGGGAGCUAGGCCAGAUGGGCUGGAGGAUGACCCUAUCGGGGGUCUGGGCCCCCCCUCCCCACCUUGAUGCUUGAAGUCUGGCUCUCCCCAGAGAAGGCCCAUCCUGACAGCGUCCUUUGCUGCCUGCCUCUUGGGCCUGGAGUGAGCCCGUCAUCAGGACAGCCUCCCUUGCAGAGCAUUCGCCCUGGGCCAAUCGUGCUCUUGAGCUGACAGCCUGAGGAAGGCGGUAGGACAGUGAUUACCAUUUGACCAGCAAAGAAAGAGAGCCUGGCUGAGCCCUGACCCACUCCUGGUGCUCUGAUCUGUUCAUCCGGGGGAGGAGAGGAGGCUGAGGCUCCGAGAAGCAUGCUGGCUUUCCCACCGCCACCCAGCAAGGAAGCAGCAGUGUCGGGAUUUGAUCCAAGGCUGUGAUGCCGAAGCCCACACCUUUGCCACCUCCCAGCCACACAAUGCCUCCCUGUGUGCCUAGAUGGCAGCUGCCUAGCCUUCUUCAUGCCAUGAUGCAUACAUACAAAAUUAUACGGACUACAUGGAGAGGCUAUGCAGGGCUGGAGGCAGUGGGCCCAAGGAUUCAGGGGGGCCCCGGGUCCACCCCCACCCCAGAGACAGAAGCCAUUUGCUUGUGGUGGGUCCACAGGUGGGAAACGAUGGAAUAGGUAUGAGUUAGCCAGCCCUUUCCAAAUCAGGGCAUCCUUCAGUCGCUUUCUAAGAGUUUGACUGAGGAUUCUGGAAGGGAUGGAGCUGGGAAGCAGAGACAGACAGGCAGUGAGCAGGCACCCCUCUUGGUGGGGAUCCCAGCUUGCUAGAGGAGACUGCUUGUAACUGCAGGAAGCAUGGUGGGCCUAUCAAAAGAAUGGGAAGCCAGCCACAGUAUAAAAGUCACAAACUUAGGCAGGAGCAGUGGCUCACACCCAUAAUCCCAGCACUUGGGGGGACCAAAGCAGGCGGAUCACUUGAGCCCAGGAGUUGGAGUCCAGCAUGGGCAACACGGCAAAACCCCAUCGCUACAAAAAAAAUAGUAAUAAUACAAAAAUCAGCCUGGUGUGGUAGUGUGCACCUGUAGUCCCAGCUACUCAGGAGGCUGAGGCGGGAGGAUCGCCUGAGCCAAGGAGGUCGAGGAUGCAGUGAGCCAUGAUCACACCACUGCACUCCAGUCUGGGCAACAGAGUGAGACUCUGCUUCAAAAAAAAAAUAAAAGUCACAAACUUUCCACCAGUAUUCAUAAGAGCAAACUCUGUGUAGCCUUGGCCGUGCAGUUGGACAGCCGGCUCUGCACCUGUAGGUGCAAUAACUCAUUUGAGCUGCACGACACGUAGGCAUGAGAGGAGCUCUUGCCACCCCCAUUUCACAAAUGGGGAAACCAAGGUCCACAACAGCUCUGCCAAAGUCAGGGAUGGCUGAGGGCACAGCCAGGACUUGAACCCAGGCAGCUCAGUGCCAACAUCGCUGCCCUGCACUUCUCUACCCAUCUGCCAGGCAGGCAAAGAUGAAAACACACCUGCCCAGUUCACUGGGGCCUCACCCUCACUCACCCAUAGAUUCCCAUGGGCUAUCUCUGUGCCUUCCUCUC